rnacentral:pre_miRNA from 7 species
GACCGCCAGUGAAAAUCGAUUUUCACUGGCGGUUUUAUUACGCCGACCGCCAGUGAAAAUCGAUUUUCACUGACGGUC